rnacentral:rRNA from 1 species
GAUGAACGCUGGCGGCGUGCCUAAUACAUGCAAGUCGAGCGAACAGACGAGGAGCUUGCUCCUCUGACGUUAGCGGCGGACGGGUGAGUAACACGUGGAUAACCUACCUAUAAGACUGGGAUAACUUCGGGAAACCGGAGCUAAUACCGGAUAAUAUAUUGAACCGCAUGGUUCAAUAGUGAAAGACGGUUUUGCUGUCACUUAUAGAUGGAUCCGCGCCGCAUUAGCUAGUUGGUAAGGUAACGGCUUACCAAGGCAACGAUGCGUAGCCGACCUGAGAGGAUGAUCGGCCACACUGGAACUGAGACACGGUCCAGACUCCUACGGGAGGCAGCAGUAGGGAAUCUUCCGCAAUGGGCGAAAGCCUGACGGAGCAACGCCGCGUGAGUGAUGAAGGUCUUCGGAUCGUAAAACUCUGUUAUUAGGGAAGAACAAAUGUGUAAAUAACUAUGCACGUCUUGACGGUACCUAAUCAGAAAGCCACGGCUAACUACGUG